rnacentral:rRNA from 1 species
UACGUAGGGUGCAAGCGUUGUCCGGAAUUAUUGGGCGUAAAGAGCUCGUAGGCGGUUUGUUGCGUCGGCUGUGAAAUCCCCGAGGCUCAACCUCGGGUCUGCAGUCGAUACGAGCAAACUAGAGUGUUGCAGGGGAGACUGGAAGUUCCUGGUGUAGCGGUGAAAUGCGCAGAUAUCAGGAGGAACACCGGUGGCGAAGGCGGGUCUCUGGGCAACAACUGACGCUGAGGAGCGAAAGCCGUGGGGAGCGAACAGG